GAUGAACGCUGGCGGCGUGCCUAAUACAUGCAAGUCGAGCGAACGGACGAGAAGCUUGCUUCUCUGAUGUUAGCGGCGGACGGGUGAGUAACACGUGGAUAACCUACCUAUAAGACUGGGAUAACUUCGGGAAACCGGAGCUAAUACCGGAUAAUAUUUUGAACCGCAUGGUUCAAAAGUGAAAGACGGUCUUGCUGUCACUUAUAGAUGGAUCCGCGCUGCAUUAUCUAGUUGGUAAGGUAACGGCUUACCAAGGCAACGAUGCAUAGCCGACCUGAGAGGGUGAUCGGCCACACUGGAACUGAGACACGGUCCAGACUCCUACGGGAGGCAGCAGUAGGGAAUCUUCCGCAAAGGGCGAAAGCCUGACGGAGCAACGCCGCAUGAGUGAUGAAGGUCUUCGGAUCGUAAAACUCUGUUAUUAGGGAAGAACAUAUGUGUAAGUAACUGUGCACAUCUUGACGGUACCUAAUCAGAAAGCCACGGCUAACUACGUG
rnacentral:rRNA from 1 species